AAAUAAGAAGCAAUUCCCAUGCAUUUAAUUUCGACUUAAAAGAUAGAGUAUAAACUCCUUAUUUA
rnacentral:tRNA from 1 species